rnacentral:tRNA from 1 species
GGUUAUGUAGUUUAACAGUAAAACACUUACUUAGAAUUCAGGAAGCUCUGGGUUCAAUUUCCAGCAGCACCA